GUAGGGAAUCUUCCACAAUGGACGAAAGUCUGAUGGAGUAACGCCGCGUGAGUGAAGAAGGGUUUGGCUCGUAAAACUCUGUUGUUAAAGAAGAACAUAUCUGAGAGUAACUGUUCAGGUAUUGACGGUAUUUAACCAGAAAGCCACGGCUAACUACGCGCCAG
rnacentral:rRNA from 1 species